rnacentral:lncRNA from 1 species
ACUAUCAAUUCAACAAUACUUCCUUAUUCUUAUCAAUUCAUCUCCCAUUUACUCUCUUUGCAGUUUAUAUAUUCAAUUAUUGAUCUUCAGCUUGCUUAUUAUAUUUAAUUUCUCAAUUCAUCACAUAGAAUUCAAUAUCUUCACUUAACACAAUACAAUUCGAUAAUCUCAAUUCUACAGAUUUUUUCUAAAACGAUCAGUUCAGAAUCAUAUUCCACAAUAUUUUAAUCAUAGUUUCAAUAAUAUUUCUCUCAAUUCCAAUUCUUCAUAAGCAAAUAAUAAAAGCAAAGAAAACAAAUAGGUAGCACUAAGCUUACCUCGG